rnacentral:rRNA from 1 species
AGAGUUUGAUCCUGACUCAGAACGAACGCUGGCGGCGUGCCUAACACAUGCGAGUCCAACGUGAAAGGGGAGCAAUCCCCCGGUAGGGUGGCAAACGGGUGAGUAAUACAUGGGUGAUCUACCUUAGGGAUGGGGAUAUCCUUCCGAAAGGAGGGGCAAUACCGAAUAUUGUCCGGAGCCGUGAAGGGUUCCGGGGAAAGGGAGGCCUCUGAUACAAGCUUUCGCCUUAAGAUGAGCCCAUGGCCCAUCAGCUAGUUGGUAGGGUAAAGGCCUACCAAGGCUACGACGGGUCGCUGGUCUGAGAGGACGACCAGCCACACUGGCACUGAGAUACGGGCCAGACUCCUACGGGAGGCAGCAGUGAGGAAUAUUGCGCAAUGGGGGAAACCCUGACGCAGCAACGCCGCGUGUGGGAAGAAGGCCUUCGGGUCGUAAACCACUUUUGCACGGGACGAAAAAGGGAUAUCGAACAAAUAUCCCCGAUGACGGUACCGUGAGAAUAAGCCACGGCUAACUCUGUGCCAGCAGCCGCGGUAAGACAGAGGUGGCAAGCGUUGUUCGGAAUUACUGGGCGUAAAGAGUCUGUAGGUGGUUUGUCAAGUCUUUGGUGAAAGGCCGUAGCUUAACUAUGGGAAUGCCAAAGAGACUGGCAGGCUGGAGGCUGGGAGAGGGAAGCG